rnacentral:rRNA from 1 species
UACAGAGGUCCCAAGCGUUGUUCGGAAUUACUGGGCGUAAAGGGUUCGUAGGUGGCUGGCUAAGCCAGACGUGAAAUCCCUCAGCUUAACUGGGGAACUGCGUCUGGGACUGGUCGGCUUGAGUGCAGGAGAGGAACGCGGAAUUCCAGGUGUAGCGGUGAAAUGCGUAGAUAUCUGGAGGAACACCGGUGGCGAAGGCGGCGUUCUGGACUGCAACUGACACUGAGGAACGAAAGCCAGGGGAGCAAACGGG